AGGUCUUCGUCCUCCUCUGCCUGGCAGCCGCUGUUGCCGCUGACAGCCGGGAAUCCUUUGAGUCCUACGAGUCAGGUGAAGCUAAAUACGACUUCAACUGGGCUGUCAAACACGACGACUCCGGCAACGACUUCGGCCACCAGGAAGCCCGUAACGGUGAAGACACUCAGGGAUCCUACUACGUGCAGCUCCCCGACGGCCGCCUGCAGACCGUCAGAUACGUCGUGGACGGUGACGACGGAUACGUGGCCGAGGUCAACUACGACGGAGAGGCUCGUUACCCCGAUUCAUACGAGUCAAAUGAGUCGAAGUAGAUCCUUUAAUUGCCAAAACUACAUAUGAGAUGACCCAACGACAGAGAUACCCACUCUUCUUUAAUUAUAUGUGUAAAUAUGCUUAAAUUAUGUAUCUAUAAUAAAGUUUUAAUCAAAGCUGAAA
rnacentral:lncRNA from 1 species